GUGCCAGCAGCCGCGGUAAGACGUAGGGAGCGAGCGUUGUCCGGAUUCAUUGGGCGUAAAGAGCGCGUAGGCGGCCGUGCAAGUCGGUUGUGAAAUCCCGGGGCUCAACCCCGGGACUGCGUCCGAUACUGCACGGCUCGAGGCAGGUAGGGGAGAGUGGAAUUCCCGGUGUAGCGGUGAAAUGCGCAGAUAUCGGGAGGAACACCGGUGGCGAAGGCGGCUCUCUGGACCUGUCCUGACGCUGAGGCGCGAAAGCUAGGGGAGCGAACAGGAUUAGAAACCCCCGUAGUCC
rnacentral:rRNA from 1 species